UACGUAGGUGGCAAGCGUUGUCCGGAUUUAUUGGGCGUAAAGCGCCCGCAGGCGGCUUGAUAAGUUUCAGGUGAAAUCUCCCGGCUCAACCGGGAGGGUGCCUGGAAAACUAUCAGGCUUGAGUCAUGGAGAGGGAUGUGGAAUUCCCGGUGUAGUGGUGAAAUGCGUAGAUAUCGGGAGGAACACCAGUGGCGAAGGCGGCUUCCUGGUCCACGCCUGACGCUCAAAUGCGAAAGCUUGGGGAGCGAACGGG
rnacentral:rRNA from 1 species